rnacentral:rRNA from 1 species
GAUGAACGCUGGCGGCGUGCCUAACACAUGCAAGUCGAACGGAGAUUACGGACGGAAGUUUUCGGAUGGAAGCCUGUAAUUCUUAGUGGCGGACGGGUGAGUAACGCGUGGGCAACCUGCCCUAUACAGGGGGAUAGCAGCUGGAAACGGCUGGUAAGACCGCAUAAGUCGGUUGAAUCGCAUGAUUUGAUCGGGAAAUGAGCAAUCAGGUAUAGGAUGGGCCCGCGUCCGAUUAGCCAGUUGGCAGGGUAAAAGCCUACCAAAGCGACGAUCGGUAGCCGGACUGAGAGGUCGGACGGCCACAUUGGGACUGAGACACGGCCCAAACUCCUACGGGAGGCAGCAGUGGGGGAUAUUGCACAAUGGAGGAAACUCUGAUGCAGCGACGCCGCGUGAGUGAAGAAGUAUUUCGGUAUGUAAAGCUCUAUCAGCAGGGAAGAUGAUGACGGUACCUGACUAAGAAGCCCCGGCUAACUACGUG